rnacentral:rRNA from 1 species
GGGAAUAUUGGACAAUGGGCGAAAGCCUGAUCCAGCAAUGCCGCGUGAGUGAUGAAGGCCUUAGGGUUGUAAAGCUCUUUUACCCGGGAAGAUAAUGACUGUACCGGGAGAAUAAGCUCCGGCUAACUCCGUGCCAGCAGCCGCGGUAAUACGGGGGGAGCUAGCGUUGUUCGGAAUUACUGGGCGUAAAGCGCACGUAGGCGGCUAUUCAAGUCAGAGGUGAAAGCCCGGGGCUCAACCCCGGAACUGCCUUUGAAACUAGAUAGCUUGAAUCCAGGAGAGGUGAGUGGAAUUCCGAGUGUAGAGGUGAAAUUCGUAGAUAUUCGGAAGAACUCCAGUGGCGAAGGCGGCUCACUGGACUGGUAUUGACGCUGAGGUGCGAAAGCGUGGGGAGCAAACAGG